GAUGAAGAACGUAGCGAAAUGCGAUAAGUAAUGUGAAUUGCAGAAUUCAGUGAAUCAUCGAAUCUUUGAACGCACAUUGCGCCCGCCAGUAUUCUGGCGGGCAUGCCUGUUCGAGCGUCAUUUCAACCAUCAAGCCCCCGGCUUGUGUUGGGGACCUGCGGCUGCCGCAGGCCCUGAAAACCAGUGGCGGGCUCGCUGUCACACCGAGCGUAGUAGAUUUUCAUCUCGCUCAGGGCGUGCUGCGGGUUCCGGCUGUAAAAAGCCUUAUUUACCCAAGGUUGACCUCGGAUCAGGUAGGAAGACCCGCUGAACUUAAGCAUAUCAAUAAGCGGAGGA
rnacentral:misc_RNA from 1 species